CUUGGCUUUGAACGGAAUUCAUCUUGGUUGCCGUUUGAUUUGAGGUUCUCGCGCUAUACCGCGGGGGAGGCAUAUAAAACCUUCUUGGACCAUUGGACGCCGGGCGUGUCGUAACCUCGACCCCCCGCGAUGCAAGUUACUAGUAGGGCUAUAGCGGGAGUGGCUGAUCAUUCAGGCGAUGUCGGGAUCCCUUCUCGGGGUUCUUCAUUGUUCCAGUAAGGGCUUUUUCUGAGUGGGCGCGCGUCGAAGACUCGCACACAGUACACUACGAUCGACUCGUUGACUUUAACAAAAAAUCAUAUCUGACCUCAGUUUAGGUGAGACUACCCGCUGAACUUAAGCAUAUCAGUAAGCGGAGGAAAAGAAACUAACAAGGAUUCCCUUAGUAGCGGCGAGCGAACAGGGAAGAGCUCAGCACCGACCUCGCGCCCCCGGCAAAGCGACGCAGAGGAAUGUGGUGUUUGGGAGAACCGUGCGUGUCUGUCCGGUAUAUUCAUCCAAGUCUCCAUGACGGGGCGAGCAACCCCACAGAGGGUGUCAGGCCCGUAGCCAAUAGCCGCCGACAUCGGACCUUCGGUUCCUUC
rnacentral:rRNA from 1 species